rnacentral:lncRNA from 1 species
CUGAAUUCUUACAUGUUGUCUGAUCUUCAGGCUCAAAUACCCAAGAGAAUAGGCAGCUGUGAAUCAACCCUCUGUGUGCUUUCUAGCAGGUAGUAUAGCACAGAAGGCAGUAUACUUCUCAUUUCUUUAAAUUGAUAGGGAUUUGAAGGAAAAGACUUUAAUAAAACAGUCACAUGAAUGAUUAUUUUCUUCCUGCUGAUGAUUCUGAACUGCAUGCAGAAAUAUAAGAACCUUUUAACAGAGCCCUAUGGGUUUAAACCCAGUCCUUUAGAUUUAUAAUUAAAGCUCAUUGUCUUUAUGCUGUCCUACACCUUAUGAGAAGGAUCACCUUUCUAAUUACAUGGUACCAGGAGGUCUGUCACAUGCUUUCACUUAGUGUUAAGGUACACAGUUGUGCUAUUUUUUCUUCUCCUUUUCCUUCUUCAGUAGAUUCUACAUUAUGUUUUGGAAAUUUGACAUCAUGAUAUUAUUAUUUUUUUCAGGCCAGAUGUUUUGUCCUGCUAUGUUAAGUCAUCUUGACAUACUGCCAUGAAAUGGAAACAACUGCUAGUUUUAACAUUGCUCCAUAUCUUUAUUAAAAGAGUCAUCAAUCUCAUGAGAGUCAUCUUGCCAUCUGUACCAGCAUUGCUCCAGGCUUCCAUAUGAAAGUCCAAUCUGGCGGUAUAAAUACUGGAUAAUGAAGAGGGAAAAGAAUUAUCUUCCUGAUGGUCUUGCGUCCUCUGUGCUGGAUCUGCAGCUGUUUUCCACCUGUAAACUUGCCACUUGUUGGUCAAGCUUUUCGGCACUUAUUCAAAUAAAAUUCUUAGGCACUCAGUUGAGAUUGGUAAUUUUUUUGUUUUGGUUGGCAUAAGAACUGAAGAAAACAUGCCCAGAUCAGGGACCAGCCAACAUCCUCUUUAACUGCAGCCAGCAGAACCGAUGUGCUUUGGAUACAGCUAACAAAUAUUGGAGGCCUGAGAGGAUACCGUUCGUUUUUCCUUCUCUGACCUGCUAGUACUGCUUCACUCCCCUGCUCUGUGCAAGCAGGUAGGAACUCUGAGCUUCUUUUUACACAGCCCAGGAAGAUGCAAUGUCCUUUUCUAUCUGAAGCUGCUGAAUCUGCCAUAUACCAGGUUCACCACAUUACUAACACAGCGUUGAGCCUGAUCCUGCUAGAAGAAGCAUUUCUGUAGACAGUAUUUGGGCCACAUCAGGACUACAGUGUUAGCAAUGAAUAAGGUAGAGAAAAUAAUGGUGCUUUUGUAUCCUGAUGUGUAUCCUCUGUCCAAUACUGAUAAGCAUAUUACUGAUAAUAUGGCCAUAAUUCUGGUUAUAGUACAGUUCUCCUUGACACUCCCAUUGUUCAUACUCCAGUCUCCCAAAUAAGUGAGGUUGAAUUAGGCUUAUUACUGUUUUUCACUCUUAGAUUACCCUCUUAGUGUACUGGACUCCAGCCCCUUUAAUUAAAAGCUUGUGAACAUGCAUCCCAUAAAUAAUUUCUCACCUUCACAGCUGUUUUUUUUUUUUUUUUUUUCUUUUUUUUUUUUUUUUCUUUUUAAACGGAGCUAAUUGAUGUUUUUGAGAAAACAUUUUCCUAUUCUUUUCCUACUGUUAUGAUUCUCUUCAAUUUUUCAGUUCUGGAAACACUACCAUGACUUAUUCAUUUUGCAAUCAUAGAGACAUUUCCUAAAAUGUAUAGAAACAGUUUCUCAGUGAACAUGUACAAUUUUUCAUCUCUCAUUAAAGACCAUAAAUUUUUAUCCCAGCUACUCAUCAGAUAGUAUUGAUAAUUACUUUUGUUAACCAAC